UACGGAGGGUGCAAGCGUUAUCCGGAUUCACUGGGUUUAAAGGGAGCGUAGGUGGCCUUAUAAGUCAGUGGUGAAAUCUCGCAGCUUAACUGCGAAAUUGCCAUUGAUACUGUAGGGCUUGAGUACAGUUGCCGUUGGCGGAAUAUGACAUGUAGUGGUGAAAUACAUAGAGAUGUCAUAGAACACCGAUUGCGAAGGCAGCUAACGAAACUGUAACUGACACUGAGGCUCGAAAGUGCGGGGAUCAAACAGG
rnacentral:rRNA from 1 species